GGAGCAGUCCCUUCCCUCCUCCUCCAAGCUCUUGGGUGGAGAGUCAUACUUCGCCACAGAUCAUACCUAUCAAAGCACUCAUAGGGUGGAAGAUCACGAAGCAUCCAGCCCUAUAAGCUAUGGGGGCAACAACGGCUUAUGUGCACUCCCACUCACACAUAGCCGGGUCAGCAACGGCUUAUAUGCACUCCUACUCGCACAUAGUCGGGUCAGCAACGGCUUAUGUGCACUCCUACUCGCACAUAGCCGGGUUCAAAUCAACAUGUAAAGAAGCAUCCAAUGCAUAUUAUCAUAUUGUGAUAACACAUAAACCAUUGUAUAGCACAUUUUCACAAUAUAAAAUCAUUUUACUAAAAGCUUGUUCCCAAGGUACAUUUUCUAAGACAAGUUGGAUAGAAUCUUUCAUAUUUCCCAAAACAAGUUUGAAAUGCAAGUCCACUCACCGGUAUCGAAAAUCCAGAUUCCGGGUGCACUCGGACUAAUAGCCCUCAGGCGCAAUUCCUUUGCCUUUUUCGGACGUCUCACCACCUUGACAAAUAACAAAGUCAAGGAAUUUACUAUAUUGUCCCUAAAUUGAUAUAAAUUAAUUUAAAUUACUAAUGCUUGAUAUGUAAAUGCAAAAAUAUGUCUGAUUACCGCUUAAUCACGGUAUCGAUUAAAUUCGACCGAUCACCCGAUUAAUCGGCGAUUGUGUCCAAAUCACCUCCAAAUUAAUUCAUUUCUCCUCUAAUACCUUAAUUUACCACAUACAUUUAAAUAAAGCCAAAUUCAGCAUUAGAACCCUCACAGUUCCUUAUAGAAAAAUUUGGUCAUUUGGUGCACUAGCAUCGAAUUUUUUUCUACAUAACCGUUUCACCUUAAUUCAUCAUUUUUCAUGCCAUUUUCCUUGAAAUAAAAACAAUCCCCCAUUGAUAUUCAGCCCUCAUGGUUCGGCCAACAAGGAACCCUAGAGAAAUUGAAUAUUUCUUUUGUGUUUUUGUUCAUAACCAUGCUUAACUAUCCCUAAACACUAACAUAGUCUAAAAUCAAAUUAUUCCAACAACAAUUCCUCUUCCAUACCCAUUUUUCAGAAUUGAAUUCAUCAUGAUAACUCAAUAUUCAACCAUGGAAAUCAAGAACAAAAGCAUGGGUAAGCUAGGUAUCAAGGAGAAUUAAAGAAAUUUUAACUUACCUAGCUUGUUUCCUUGAUUUCUUCACUUUUUCUUUGAAUUUCCACCUAGGUUUUCUUGUUUUUCCUUUUGUUCUUCCUUUUUUCUUGUUGCUGGAUGC
rnacentral:lncRNA from 1 species